AAACUUACUGAGGGUGCACUCAAUCCCCUUGUCCUGGUCUUCAAUAAAGAUAUUGUCAUGAUUUUGUGGUUUUUGUGUGUUGUGUGCUGACCCCUGUGAUUUCCCCAAAUGUGGGAAACUCGACUGCAUAAUUUGUGGUAGUGGGGGACUGCGUUCGUGCUCUCCCCUG
rnacentral:snRNA from 12 species